ensembl:lncRNA
GAAGCUUAGAGUUUCUUAUGUUCCACUCCACCAACGUGCCAUGGAGAGGAAACCUGUCAGCAAGCAGCACAUGAUGGUAGACAGAAGCUGAGAUGAGCCCUCAUUCAUGGAUGGGCUGCAAAACCAACUCCUUUCCUGUCCCUUCCAGUUAGUAAACCUUGAUCAAUCCUAAAAUACACCAUGCCUGGUGCAGCAGCUGCCUGCAUUCCAAAAACCUGUGUUUCUGUACUCAGAAGAAGGCAGUUAGCAACCUUCGGCCACUUGUCAUUACAAAGGCAAAGAUAUGAAAAUGAGAGUUUCUGAUGGAUGUGGCUUCAAGCAGGACAAAGGCCUUUGAAAACAGCGAAGAUGAGGAAAAUCACAGAUAAUAUUCUUGCCACGCUGCUUUGAACCCUCAAUCCAAAAGCACUUUUAAACAUGCUCUCCACAUACCCUUCAUCCUGGGAGAGCGAGACAGAGGUUCUGAUGACCCUGGCUUCCAGACUGGCUCCUGAUUGCUGGUCAAGACCACAGUGGAAAUUAGAAGCCUGCCUGCUGAUUCAUCUCUUCUUCUCACUGCAUCUGCAUUCUGGCUGUCUAUUCAACCAAUAUCUGUGGAGUACCUACUGUGUGCCAGAUACUGUUCUAGCACAGCCAUCCCAGAGGCAUCUUUCUGAACCAUAGAUCUGAUCAUGUCAUGCUCCUGCCUAAUGCCUUCCGUGGCUCCUUAUUAUCCAAAGGAUCAAGUCCAGAAAAUUUAACAUGGCUAACAAAAUCAUUUAUUGUGUGCCCCUUCAGUUUCAUCCCUUUCUUUUACUUGCUCCCCAUCCUACCCCUUCUAAUCCAGGUUGUGGCUAUACUAUGAGUCUUUCUGUAUUGUGUCUCCAGCCACCAGUCAUUGAAGCCUGCUCCUCCUUUUGCUUGGAGCAAUCUCACCAACGCUGUCCACUGUCCCCUUGCCCACUCACUGCUUCCCUAGCCCUUCCCAUCCUGCAGUGGGAAUGCUUUUCUGUGGGGAGCCUUCAGAACGCACAUUCAGCACCUGUAGGCAGCAUUGUUGUUUGCCAGGAUCUUAGCUCUUUUUUCUUCUCUGGUAAAAGAUAGUCCUUACCCCUUUGGAAAACCCAUUCCAUGGAGCUCAGGUAGGGCUGCCCUGGGCUAUCUCCCAAGUUGCUGGUGAUUCCGGCCUGAAUUAUCCUGUAACUGACCACCACCCAGCCCCCACUGGUCUCUGAGCACCAGGAGAGAAGGAAAUGACUGUUUGCUUCCCUAUCCCCAGCCUCAGCACCUGGCCCAGGUGGGUUCACCACAGCUGGGUCAUCUACCAAUGUUUUUUGAAUAAAUAAAAUUUUGAAAUUGC